GCGGUCGUGGUGUAGCCUGGUUAACACAAUCCCCUGUCACGGGAUAGACCGUGGGUUCAAAUCCCAUCGACCGCGCCA
rnacentral:tRNA from 2 species